rnacentral:rRNA from 1 species
GACAGAGGGUGCAAACGUUGCUCGGAUUUACUGGGCGUAAAGCGCGUGUAGGCGGGAAGAAAAAGUCGGGUGUGAAAUCCCUGGGCUCAACCUAGGAACUGCAUCCGAAACUUUCUUUCUGGAGUGAUGGAGAGGAGAGCGGAAUUCCCGGUGUAGAGGUGAAAUUCGUAGAUAUCGGGAGGAACACCGGUGGCGAAGGCGGCGAUCUGGGUCGAUACUGACGCUGAGGUGCGAAAGCGUGGGGGAGCAAACAGG